UUGCUGGAUGCUGCGCCAAAACCACAGUUGCUCCCCUGGACCGAGUGAAGGUUUUAUUACAAGCUCAUAACCGUCAUUACAAACACUUAGGGGUACUUUCCACACUGCAUGCUGUUCCCCAAAAGGAAGGCUACCUUGGACUAUAUAAAGGAAACGGUGCAAUGAUGAUUUGGAUCUUUCCCUAUGGUGCAAUCCAGUUCAUGGCCUUUGAGCAUUAUAAAACGUUCAUUACUACAAAGCUGGGAGUUUCUGGUCAUGUGCACAGAUUAAUGGCUGGAUCCAUGGCAGGCAUGACAGCGGUUAUCUGCACUUACCCUCUUGUGGUCAGGGUGCGCCUGGCCUUCCAGGUGAAAGGAGAGCACACCUAUUCAGGGAUCAUCUAUGCCUUCAAGACAACCUAUGCCAAGGAAGGUGGUUUCCUUGGAUUCUACCGAGGUCUGGUGCCUACUAUAUUAGGAAUGGCUCCAUAUGCAGGGGUCUCCUUUUUUACCUUUGGUACCUUGAAGAGUGUUGGGCUUUCCUAUGCUCCUGCCCUGCUUGGCCAACCUUCGUCCUACAACCCCAAUGUCUUAGUUUUGAAAACUCACAUAAACCUCCUUUGUGGUGGUGUUGCUGGAGCAAUAGCACAGACGAUAUCCUACCCAUUUGAUGUGACCUGUCGGAGAAUGCAGUUAGGGGCAGUCCUGCUGGAGUUUGAGAAGUGCCUUACCAUGCGGGAGACCAUGAAGUACGUCUAUGGACACCAUGGGAUUCGGAGAGGAUUGUACCGUGGCUUAUCUCUGAACUACAUUCGCUGUAUUCCCUCUCAAGCUGUGGCUUUCACAACGUACGAACUGAUGAAGCAAUUUUUUCACCUUAACUGAAAGAAAAAAAAUCAUGAUUUGUAGUUAUUUUCCUCAGUAAAUUCUCAGAAGGAUGUGUGUGUGUGUGUGUGUG